rnacentral:lncRNA from 1 species
CAAUUGCUCUCCCUACACAUGGAAUUGUCGUCCCACAGACAGCCUGUUUGUCUGUGUGCAUAGCUGUGCUCUACACAUACGAGGGAAGCUGUGGCUUCAGAGGGGCCAGUGCCCACCCCCUUUGGUGAUGCUACCUCACCUGUGUCCCCCGGCUUCUCACCCGCCUGGAUUCUCACCUGCCAGCCUCACUUUCCCUCUGACCCCCCCACACACCAGCUCUGCGUCUUCUCACCUCCAUCCUCUGUCUUUCACUUGUAUUGAGAUAACAUUUUCCCAUAGUUAUCAGAGUGCUGUAAGUUCCCUGGGGAGCAUCCGGAUAAUACCACACAUAGCAGAAAUCAAAGACCUCCUGUGUGCCCCUCACGCAGAAACAUUGAAAUCACAGCUCUUGGCAGAUUUCCUGUCACUUGCCAGUUAUCCAUGUACCUGGGUGCUCAGUGACAUGAUGAUGUGUUGCAGGCCGACUGGCGUGGACCACAUGGCUUCCCCACUGGUUCAAACGUCACGGAGCAGGUUCCCCCCGAUAGGCACGGAGACCAGGGAGCAGAAUACAGCAGUUCCUGGAUGCCGCCUUGUUUCUUACAGAGGAAGGCAUCUACAAACCCGUGUGUCGAGUGCCAUGCCUGACGGUACAGAACGAUCGCGUCUUCGAGAAAGAACAGCCACCCUGGAACAGUUGUCAAGGCCCAGCACAACCCACACGUUCCGGUCGGAUACGCCUCGAAAAAGUUCAUUGACACAAAUGGAAUUUGCUGCUCACACAUGGACAGGUCAAAGUAUUUUGACAGGUUCACAAUAUGUGCCUAAAUCUUUUCAGAGGACAACUUUGACUUUCAAGAAGAGAUUCCAAGUGACAUCUUGAAACCACCUCACCAGAACCAUUGGAGCACUCGUGGCCUCAGCACACUGCUUAUCACUUGAAAAAUGGAGGAACAAGUGUUAUAUUUAUCUGUGUGUCUGACAGUGUGAGAUGUUAGACCGAGAGAAAAGCAAACAAAUAAAUCACUUAAUCUUGAACACUUUGCA